rnacentral:misc_RNA from 1 species
GUGAAUCAUCGAAUCUUUGAACGCACAUUGCACUCUCUGGUAUUCCGGAGAGUAUGCUUGUUUGAGUAUCUGUAAACAUCUCAAAUCUCUCAGCGCUUGCGCUACAGAGAAUUGGAUUUGAGCGAUCCCGACUCUUUCGUCAGAAAGAGGAGGGUCGCUUGAAAUGCAGGUGCAGCUGGACAUUCUUCUGAGCUAAAAGCAUAUCUAUUUAGUCCCGUCAAACGGAUUAUUACUUUUGCUUCAGCUAAUAUAAAGGUCGAAUGAACUACCAACGCUGAUUGCAGGAAAACUCGUUCUUUA